rnacentral:tRNA from 1 species
GGAUGUGUGCCUGAAAGAUUAAGGACUACUUUGAUAGAGUAUACCAAAGGGGCUCAAUUCCCCUCACCUCC